rnacentral:rRNA from 1 species
UACGUAGGGUGCAAGCGUUAUCCGGAUUUACUGGGCGUAAAGAGCGCGCAGGCGGCUGGUCAAGUCCGAUGUGAAAUCUCCCGGCUUAACUGGGAAACUGCAUCGGAAACUGAUCGGCUUGAAGGUGGGAGAGGGUAGUGGAAUUCCCGGUGUAGUGGUGAAAUGCGUAGAUGUCAAGAGGAACACCUGCGGCGAAGGCGGGUUGCUGGGCCGACACUGACGCUGAGGCGCGAAAGCCAGGGGAGCGAACGGG